UACGUAGGGUGCGAGCGUUGUCCGGAAUUAUUGGGCGUAAAGGGCUCGUAGGCGGUUUAUCGCGUCGGGAGUGAAAUCCACUGGCUUAACUGGUGGCUUGCUUUCGAUACGGGCAGACUGGAGGUAUGCAGGGGAGAACGGAAUUCCUGGUGUAGCGGUGAAAUGCGCAGAUAUCAGGAGGAACACCGGUGGCGAAGGCGGUUCUCUGGGCAUGUCCUGACGCUGAGGUGCGAAAGCGUGGGGAGCAAACAGG
rnacentral:rRNA from 1 species